GGACUACCGGGGUAUCUAAUCCUUUUUGCUACCCAGGCCUUCGUCCCUCAACGUCAGUUUAUACAUAGAAGGUUGCUUUCGCCGCUACCAGUCCUUAAGGUAUCAACAAAUUUUAUCUCUACUCCCUAAAUACUCCCCUCCUCAUAUAAAACUCUAGUAAAACUGUUCCCUAUUUUGGGCUAGUAAUACCGUCUAGGUACCCUUUAAACCUAUUAAAGAUGAAUAACACUAGUCUUCUACGUAUUACCGCGGCUGCUGGCAC
rnacentral:rRNA from 1 species